ACACGAGUUGGUGAAGGCUCACUCUACACUCUUUGGUCUUCGGCUUCAUUUCUCCUAAGUUCUAAUCUAGAAUGUUCCAUCGACGGAGCACAGCAUGGGAUCAGCGUCACUGUGUCUCUAUCCAUGGCUGCUUCGUCUCUCCGCAACUUUCGUUCUUUCUCGUUACCAUCACAAAAGCUUCCCACCAAGAAAACGAGCACUCAGCUCUUCUUUUCUUCUUCCUCUGUCCCUUCUGGUUCUUCUCUUUCUGUUUCUUCGUCUUCUUUCAGAUUGUUUCCAAGUGGUAUAUACAGACAUGGGUUAGUUCCAGUAGUAGCUAAUGAUCUUUCUUCUUCUUAUUCAUCUAAUUUAUUGUCUGUAGAAUGCCCUUCUCUUCUUUACUUGAAUACCCUCUUCUGUAAAUCUGACAACAAAGAACCGAAAUGUAACUUAAGAAAACCCUACAACCUUAAGGUCCUUGUGGCCGCUGAUGAACCUGAAGAGGCCUUGCUUAGGAGGUUCAGGAAGAAAGUAAUGAAGGCUGGAAUUAUUCAGGAAUCCAAGAGGAGAAGAUUUUUUGAGAACAAGCAGGAUAAGAAGAAAAGGAAGACCAGAGAAGCCGCUAGGCGGAAUCGAAGAAGGCGCCCAUCAUCGAGAACUACACCACCUGAGAAGAAAGAAUCAUCGAAGAAAAAGAAGGAUGAAGAUGAAGAAGAAGAUAACUGGGCACUUCCUGAAGGAGAUCUUCCAUAUUGAUAACCAUUUUUCGCCAUUCUUUCUUUGUGUGGUAAUUGCAUCCUCUGAGGCCUCUUUCUGUUAUCCCCGACUUCAUUUUGCCUCUAUGAGUAAUGGUUUUACAAGGAACUUGUUGGAAUCAAAGGUCUGGAGUAUCCUACAGGGUUUAUGAUAGGCAAUGGCAGAAGGAAUUCAGAGACUUGAAGUUUGGACUGAUAGUUUGCAACUGGCUGAGUGGCUGUCGCAAGGGAAGUAUGAUGGGUGGCCAUGGGAUUAUUUCAAAUUCUGUUAGAUAGUUAUGAAUUUUCCUCUUAAUUAGUUUUAACUUUUAAAUUAAAUGAUUCUAAUUUAGUUUUAGUUGCUAGGAGAGUAGCAGAUAAAGCUAGGAUAGCUAAGUUGUCUUUUCUAAUCAAGAACGAUGUAACUGCUGAUUUCAAUUUGCUUAAUAUUUUAGUUUGUUUCUCAUAAAAAAAAUGUUUUAUGUAUGC